rnacentral:rRNA from 1 species
AUGCGGGAUAUAAAAACAUAUCUCUCUGUAGCACCCGUGCUAAGUACUCUAUGGUUUGGUGCUUUAGCAGGUUUAUUGAUAGAAAUUAAUCGUUUAUUCCCAAAUGCUUUGUCAUUCCCUUUUUUUUAA